CACAUGUUUCAGCCUGAUUUCCAGAAGUAUGAUUUUUAAAACAUAUUUUAUUUAACAUUAAAAUAUAUUUUCAAAAGCAUAUUACUUUUUUUUCAUUUCUUUCUUUUUCUUUUUUUUCAGGUAAAUAGCUAGUUGAGAUCAGAGACCUCUUUCAUAAGGGUAACCUAGCCUAGAAGGAAGCAGCACUUGUUGUUAACUUAACAAACAACCACAUAUAGAAAUAAGCAUACUUUAAAUCAUAAUGCAGUUAUACUUGUAUCUGUUUGUAAACAGUAAACACAUGUGUACACAGGGGAAAAGUGUGUCCUCCCGCCCAGCCUGCUAGCGCAGUGCAUUCAGUUGGACCAAUCAGAAUCAAGGUUUUCAAAUCGACGACCCAAUCACACAACGUAAAAGUUCGCUUCACGAAAGUUAACGUGUGAACGUGGCGUUGAGAGAGGGAAGCUAUUUCUGGCAAGAAAUCCUUUUGUUUCUUAGGUUUCCUUUGUUUUACUUUACCGACUCAGACUUGGAAGGUGGACACCACAGACAUAAUAAGAAAAGAACACAGAAGAGAAGAAUAUCCAGUCAGCUCCCUGCAGGAAUUAAAUGUGAAAAGAGCUAAAGAGGUGUGCCUGGCAAGUACAAGCAGGAGAGGACAGACACAGAUACUGCCAGCAAAAAUCAUCUUUCUUGAGCUUCCUGGGAUCGUUGCCUCACUCAGAUGGCUCAGAGGCCAUGAAAAUCUCAAAGGACCAGCUGGACCCUCACAAGCUCAAUGUGCUCAUAGGCUUUACUGGGGCGGAGCUGCCGGAGCUGCCCAGGCAAACUUGGAGACCCAUUUUAAUUGCAGUGCUGCACAGCACAUAUUCACAUCCCUCACUCGGUCGCUCCCUCUCUCUCUCCUGCAUGUACACAACCCAUCUGUGAAUUGAAUGAUGCUGUGUGAUAAAGCAGUUUCCAAAUCCUAUAGUGUCUGCAGUCACAGAAAAUGCAACAAGUCCUACUCAAAGAUACCGACCCUCCACUCCAAGGAUAAGGAUUGUGACAUUUUUCAGUUUCAGUUUGGUUCCACCAUUUGUACUGUAAGCUUGUGACGGAGUACCUUCACUACAGUUGAGUAAGCGCUCGGACUGCCAUACCAACGAGCCUGGCUCUUUGGCCUUGCUGUCAAAGUUGCAUGUUUGGUUCCCUGUAGACCUGUGUUUGAAUCUGGGUAGGGUGACUGCUCUCACCUUUGGCCGCAUAUGGUGUUAGAAGUGGGAUGGCUUGCCGUGAGGUCAUCUGAGCCGUGCCCAGAGUCCGAACCGUAUGAGGGACCACCAUGGGUAACAUUAAUGAUGGGAUGUGUACUUUUCAGUAAUACUGAUCGUAUGUCAUCAUUUUACUGAUUUUAUUUUUAUUUGAAGGUAUUUUGGUCAAGAUGUGAUACAUGCUGUUGUACCUUUUAAUGCACAGGAAUUUUUGUAAUGUACACAAAAUUAAAGUUUUUUAGUUGUC